AACGAGCGCUGGCGGCAUGCCUAACACAUGCAAGUCGAACGAGAUCUUCGGGUCUAGUGGCGCACGGGUGCGUAACGCGUGGGAAUCUGCCCUUUGGUUCGGAAUAACAGUUGGAAACAACUGCUAAUACCGGAUGAUGACGAAAGUCCAAAGAUUUAUCGCCAGAGGAUGAGCCCGCGUAGGAUUAGCUAGUUGGUGUGGUAAAGGCGCACCAAGGCGACGAUCCUUAGCUGGUCUGAGAGGAUGAUCAGCCACACUGGGACUGAGACACGGCCCAGACUCCUACGGGAGGCAGCAGUGGGGAAUAUUGGACAAUGGGCGAAAGCCUGAUCCAGCAAUGCCGCGUGAGUGAUGAAGGCCUUAGGGUUGUAAAGCUCUUUUACCCGGGAUGAUAGUGACGGUACCGGGAGAAUAAGCUCCGGCUAACUCCGUGCCAGCAGCCGCCGUAA
rnacentral:rRNA from 1 species